rnacentral:rRNA from 1 species
AACGCGUGGAUAACCUGCCGUAUACAGGGGGAUAACNCUUAGAAAUAGGUGCUAAUACCGCAUAAGCGCACGGUUCCGCAUGGAACAGUGUGAAAAACUCCGGUGGUAUACGAUGGAUCCGCGUCUGAUUAGCCAGUUGGCGGGGUAACGGCCCACCAAAGCGACGAUCAGUAGCCGGCCUGAGAGGGUGAACGGCCACAUUGGGACUGAGACACGGCCCAAACUCCUACGGGAGGCAGCAGUGGGGAAUAUUGCACAAUGGGGGAAACCCUGAUGCAGCGACGCCGCGUGAGUGAAGAAGUAUCUCGGUACGUAAAGCUCUAUCAGCAGGGAAGAAAAUGACGGUACCUGACUAAGAAGCCCCGGCUAACUACGUGCCAGCAGCCGCGGUAAUACGUAGGGGGCAAGCGUUAUCCGGAUUUACUGGGUGUAAAGGGAGCGUAGACGGCAGCGCAAGUCUGGAGUGAAAUGCCGGGGCUCAACCCCGGAACUGCUUUGGAAACUGUGCAGCUCGAGUGCAGGAGAGGUAAGCGGAAUUCCUAGUGUAGCGGUGAAAUGCGUAGAUAUUAGGAGGAACACCAGUGGCGAAGGCGGCUUACUGGACUGUAACUGACGUUGAGGCUCGAAAGCGUGGGGAGCAAACAGGAUUAGA